rnacentral:rRNA from 1 species
UUUAAUAUUUUUGGUUAAAUUGAAGUUUAAUUUUUUUUUUUGAUGUUAAUUUUUAAUUUUUUGGGUGAAAUAGUUAAAAUUUAAAUAAGUUUAAUUUGAUUCUUUGAAAAUUAAAAUUUAAACUAGGAUUAGAUACCCUAUUAUUUUAUUUGUUAAUGAUUUACCUGGGUAAUAAUAGUUAUUUUCUUUAAACCUAAAGAAUUUGGCGGUAAUUUAGUCUAUUCAGAGGAAUUUGUCCCGUGAUCGAUAAUCCCCGUUUUAUCUUGCUUUAUUUUGUACUAUCAGUAUGUAUACCGCCGUUAUAAGUUUAUUUUAUUAGAGAUUUUAAUUUACUUAAUAUAUUAUUAUAUUUUAUUUCAGGUCAAGGUGCAGUUUAUAAUGAAGUGGUGGUGAAUUACAAUAUUAUUUGAAUAAACGGAUUUAUUAUUUAAAUAUUUUAUUUAAGGUGGAUUUGAAUGUAAUAUUUUUAAUUUUAUUAAUUUGAUUUUAGCUCUAAAUUAAGCACAU